AUAUAAGAAUUAGAUAUUGUAUAUACAAACAGCUGUUUUCUUCCAGCCUUAACCUCUCACUGUCUCUUAUAGGGUGCUGUCACUCAUUUUUGGAAGGCUGCCGUGGUCACAUUUUGAUAUUCAUCUCAUCUCUGUUCCUCUCUGUCCUUUUUUCAGGAUCCCAUCAUGUUCUAUGUUUGUUCAGGAGGUUCACUUGACCAUGCAGACUUUUGGAUUCCUCUAAGUUCCCAUGUUUGAGGAAGCAUUUGGUGUUGCUGUGCAAAGUGUUGCUGCAGUGGAGGUUCAAGGUUACUGUUUAUUGAUAUGGAUCCCAUCAUACUUUGUUCAUUGUUUG